UGGGGAAUAUUGCACAAUGGGCGCAAGCCUGAUGCAGCCAUGCCGCGUGUAUGAAGAAGGCCUUCGGGUUGUAAAGUACUUUCAGUCGGGAGGAAGGUGGUAAGGUUAAUAACCUUAUCAAUUGACGUUACCGACAGAAGAAGCACCGGCUAACUCCGUGCCAGCAGCCGCGGUAAUACGGAGGGUGCAAGCGUUAAUCGGAAUUACUGGGCGUAAAGCGCACGUAGGCGGUUGAUUGAGUCAGAUGUGAAAUCCCCGGGCUUAACCCGGGAAUUGCAUCUGAUACUGGUCAGCUAGAGUCUUGUAGAGGGGGGUAGAAUUCCAUGUGUAGCGGUGAAAUGCGUAGAGAUGUGGAGGAAUACCGGUGGCGAAGGCGGCCCCCUGGACAAAGACUGACGCUCAGGUGCGAAAGCGUGGGGAGCAAACAGG
rnacentral:rRNA from 1 species